rnacentral:rRNA from 1 species
CACCAGCAGCUCGAGUGGUAGUCCCUUUUAUUGAGCCUAAAGCGUUCGUAGCCGGUUUUGUAAAUCCUCAGACAAAUUCUCCUGCUUAACGGGAGAUACUCUGGAGAGACUGCGAAACUAGGGACCGGGUGAGGUUGAAGGUACUUCUGGGGUAGGGGUAAAAUCCUGUAAUCCUGGAAGGACGACCAGUGGCGAAGGCGUUCAACUAGAACGGAUCCGACGCGGAGGAACGAGGGAUAGGGGAGCAAACCGG